UGGUUCAGAGAGCUUCUGGGUUGGGGAGACCACAGCUAGGAGGGUGCUGCACCUCAAACUCCAUGGAGACAGAAGCUCCUACAUAUGGGACCCCCACCCACUCCCCCCUCAACCUCGCCCUCCCCCUCUGGCUGUUCACCCCUUUAUCAGAGUUCCCCCCUGAGUUCUGGGGGGAGGCAGGUGGGAACCUUCUGUCUGUAGGCGGUUGUGCAGAAGUGUGGGUGACCUGGGUUCCACCUGUGGUUGGUGUGAAAGUGGGAGCAGUCCUGGGGGACUGAGCCCCACUCUUGAUACAUAUUUCCAGAAACUCGGGGUUGUAUCUGAGGUGAAUUGAAUUGGAGGACACCCAGCUGGGUUCCGAAAGGAACUGGAGGAUUCCUCGCGGUGGAAAGGCCCCACAUUGGGUGUCAGAAGCGCUGUGAGCAGAGAAACAAUUUUUCUUUAAUAAUGAACAAUGUAUUUUCGCCUUUUGAGCAAACACCUCCACUUGGAGGACCUCCCUGAUUUCUCCCUUUCCCUGUGAGCCUUUCUUUCUUGAAAAGUCAGAAGCAGUCAGCUCAAACACCAAUUAGAUCAUUCCUGAACCUGCUCAAACCCUUGGUGGUUUCCAUGGCUGUUAGGAAAGGACAAAUGGCUUCACCUGUUCUGCUGACCCAAGCGGGGUGGCUGGUGCAGGGUGGGCACGGAUUUGGAACACACUUUGGGGCUGCUGGCUGCGACCUCCCCCUGGUACAUCUUGGGUUAUAAUCUGUGUGCUAUGGCUUCACGACGUUGACAGUGUUGUAUUACUACUGUCUGACACAGGGAAGGGAUGACAACACUGGGGACUUGUCGGUGUGCCCAACCAUCUAAGAGCAAACACUUCGCUUUUGCAAGACUGAGGCUCACAGUGUCUGGAAAUAAAGCUACCUGUUUUUUGGUUUCUCCUGACAGGUGUGUCUCUGCAAUGUAAGAUUGCAUGUGUUGAGGCUCAAGGAAGUAACAGUAACACUUGUGAUUUGUAGUCUUUGCUCUGUAAUUUGGUUUGUGGGGUUGUGUUAAUGACCACAAAUCACAUGGGUUAAAACCACAGUAUCCAUCCUCCCCCAUCCUGGAGAGCAAGAGGUCUAAGGAUAAGGGGUCCCAGGGCCCUGUUCCCUCCAGAAGCUCCAGGGAGGUGUUCCUGCCUCUUCCAGCUUCUGGGGGCUCCAGCUGACCCUGGGCUGGUGGCCACCUCCCUCCCGGCUCUGGCUCCAUCUUCCUGUGGCUUCUGCUCUGUCAUCUCUUUUGUGAUAAACAUAGUUAUUCCAUUUAGGGAGCAUCUUCAUCCUUGAGAACAUUGUCCCUGGCACAGAGCUCAAAAAACCUUAGCAAUUUCUUGAUCCCUUUAAGCAGAGCAUCACUGGUGUUUCCAGAGAAAUCCAAGCUCACCUGUUUAUGCUAAUGAGCUGGUACUGGUUGCCAGGGGAACCAACCAGGUGAUGAAAGGGUUGGCUUCUUUAGCUCCACCCCCAACCUCCAGGGCUGCUGAGAAGCCAAGGCUUUAAUCAGUCCUGAGUAGUGCAAACCCCCUAAAAAUGAGCUUCAGAGAGCUUCUGGGGUGGGGAGCCCACAGUUGGGAAGGUGCUGAACCCCAAACUCCAUGGGGACAGAAUCUCUUGCUUCUUUGGGAUAGACCACCACCCCCAAACCUCACUCUCCCCCUCCCCUUCUGGCUUUUCAUCGCUUUAUCAGCAACAGAAUGGAGUCUGUAAAACACCAAUUAGAUCCUGUCCUCAUGUGCUUCACACCCUCGGUGGAUAUCAUGGCUGUUAGAAAAGGACAAAAGGCUUCACCUGUCCCAGGGACCAAGGUGGGGUUGCUGGUGCAGGGCAGGCACGGAUUUGGAACACGCUUUGGGGCUGGUGGUACAUCUAAGAUUAUAAACUUUGUGCUGUGGCUUCAUGACCUUGACAAUAUUUCAUGACUUGGGUCUGACACAGGGAAGAGGUGACAACACUGGGGACUAGUUCUUGUGCCCAAACAUUUAAGAGCAGACGCUUUGCUUUGGCAAGGUUGAUGUUUGCAGACUCUAUAAAUAAAUACAUGUUUAGGGGUUUCUCCCACAGGUGUA